CCUAGGGGCGGCUGCAGUGGGGAAUAUUGGACAAUGGGCGAAAGCCUGAUCCAGCCAUGCCGCGUGUGUGAAGAAGGCCUUCGGGUUGUAAAGCACUUUCAGUGGGGAAGAAAGCCUUGGGGCUAAUACCCUCGAGGAAGGACAUCACCCACAGAAGAAGCACCGGCUAACUCCGUGCCAGCAGCCGCGGUAAUACGGAGGGUGCGAGCGUUAAUCGGAAUUACUGGGCGUAAAGCGCGCGUAGGCGGUCUGAUAAGCCGGUUGUGAAAGCCCCGGGCUCAACCUGGGAACGGCAUCCGGAACUGUCAGGCUAGAGUGCAGGAGAGGAAGGUAGAAUUCCCGGUGUAGCGGUGAAAUGCGUAGAGAUCGGGAGGAAUACCAGUGGCGAAGGCGGUCUUCUGGACUGACACUGACGCUGAGGUGCGAAAGCGUGGGUAGCAAACAGGAUUAGAUACCCUUGUAGUC
rnacentral:rRNA from 1 species